CUUGAAUCUGGCAGAUCUGCAAAUGAAGCUACAAAUUUUUCACCAGGAAACCUCAUAUGAAAACAUUCUAGCCAGUCGGGCAAAGAAUGGAAUGAUCCUGGCUGGUUUUGAAGAUGCAAAUGGAACCACAUGGCUAUCAAUCUUGCAGCAGUAUUAUUUCAAAAACAUAUUUCCAGACCAUCAAAAGUUUAUGAUGCAACCAACAAGCCUGUCACUAAACUGGAGAACAUGGAUGUUUACCUCUCAUGGUGAAUCAAAGACAGCUAUCCUUUUCUUUUACGGCUGUACAUUGCUCUGGGGUUACCCAACCUAUCUC